rnacentral:rRNA from 1 species
UGGGGAAUUUUGGACAAUGGGCGAAAGCCUGAUCCAGCAAUGCCGCGUGUGUGAAGAAGGCCUUCGGGUUGUAAAGCACUUUUGUCCGGAAAGAAAUCCUUGGCUCUAAUACAGUCGGGGGAUGACGGUACCGGAAGAAUAACACCGGCUAACUACGUGCCAGCAGCCGCGGUAAUACGUAGGGUGCAAGCGUUAAUCGGAAUUACUGGGCGUAAAGCGUGCGCAGGCGGUUUGCUAAGACCGAUGUGAAAUCCCCGGGCUCAACCUGGGAACUGCAUUGGUGACUGGCAGGCUAGAGUAUGGCAGAGGGGGGUAGAAUUCCACGUGUAGCAGUGAAAUGCGUAGAGAUGUGGAGGAAUACCGAUGGCGAAGGCAGCCCCCUGGGCCAAUACUGACGCUCAUGCACGAAAGCGUGGGGAGCAAACAGGAUUAGAUACCCUGGUAGUCCACGCCCUAAACGAUGUCAACUAGUUGUUGGGGAUUCAUUUCCUUAGUAACGUAGCUAACGCGUGAAGUUGACCGCCUGGGGAGUACGGUCGCAAGAUUAAAACUUAAAUGAAUUGACGGGGUCAUAGCUGUUUCCU